GAUGAACGCUGACAGAAUGCUUAACACAUGCCAGUCAACUUGAAUUUGGGUUUUUAACUUAGGUUUGGGUGGCGGACGGGUGAGUAACGCGUAAAGAACUUGCCUCACAGCUAGGGACAACAUUUGGAAACGAAUGCUAAUACCUAAUAUUAUGAUAAUAGGGCAUCCUAUAAUUAUGAAAGCUAUAAGCGCUGUGAGAGAGCUUUGCGUCCCAUUAGCUAGUUGGAGAGGUAACGGCUCACCAAGGCGAUGAUGGGUAGCCGGCCUGAGAGGGUGAUCGGCCACAAGGGGACUGAGACACGGCCCGUACGCCUACGGGAGGCAGCAGUGGGGAAUAUUGGACAAUGGACCGAGAGUCUGAUCCAGCAAUUCUGUGUGCACGAUGAAGUUUUUCGGAAUGUAAAGUGCUUUCAGUUGGGAAGAAACAAAUGACGGUACCAACAGAAGAAGUGACGGCUAAAUACGUG
rnacentral:rRNA from 1 species